rnacentral:rRNA from 1 species
AUUGAACGCUGGCGGCAUGCCUUACACAUGCAAGUCGAACGGUAACAGGUCUUCGGAUGCUGACGAGUGGCGAACGGGUGAGUAAUACAUCGGAACGUGCCUAGUAGUGGGGGAUAACUACUCGAAAGAGUGGCUAAUACCGCAUGAGAUCUACGGAUGAAAGCAGGGGAUCGCAAGACCUUGUGCUACUAGAGCGGCCGAUGGCGGAUUAGGUAGUUGGUGGGAUAAAAGCUUACCAAGCCGACGAUCUGUAGCUGGUCUGAGAGGACGAUCAGGCACACUGGGACUGAGACACGGCCCAGACUCCUACGGGGGGAAGUAGUGGGGAAUUUUGGACAAUGCGCGCAAGCCUGAUCCAGCAAUGCCGCGUGCAGGAUGAAGGCCUUCGGGUUGUAAACUGCUUUUGUACGGAACGAAAAGCCCCGGGUUAAUACCCUGGGGUCAUGACGGUACCGUAAGAAUAAGCACCGGCUAACUACGUGCCAGCAGCCGCAGUAA